ACGACCUUCUUUCUUUGAGCAAGAGGACAAACCUGGGUAGGGAUCUCUAUGAUGUUUUCUGCGUUGCCCGUGGACGUUCAUCUUUCUGAUUUGUUAGCUGAAGAUGAGGAUCUGGAGCAGGAGCUCGGAGUGCCAUUGUUCCAUGGGCAGAUGUGCAGCAGAGAUUUCCUAGGCCGCUAAGACGUCAGGGGAGCUGAUACACACUUCCAAGAACACGGAGACAUCAAAGGGAGCUGAGAGUCCACAGCGGCAGCAAAACAGGUGCUGCUUCACAUGCCCUUUGCUAAGAGUCCUGGAGUUUGAAGUCUCCACGGCCGAUCUAAAAGCAAGUUCCUGAGGAAGGAGCCGGAAAGUUCUCUGAAACCAGUAGUGGAAGCUAGUCUCUAAUAAAACAAAAUGUUACCACGCUUCUGGAAAGAUUCCACACAUCAAACAUUGAAUAAAAAGGACAAUUCGAUUAAC
rnacentral:lncRNA from 1 species